rnacentral:rRNA from 1 species
UGGGGAAUUUUGGACAAUGGGCGAAAGCCUGAUCCAGCAAUGCCGCGUGUGUGAAGAAGGCCUUCGGGUUGUAAAGCACUUUUGUCCGGAAAGAAAUGGCUCUGGUUAAUACCUGGGGUCGAUGACGGUACCGGAAGAAUAAGGACCGGCUAACUACGUGCCAGCAGCCGCGGUAAUACGUAGGGUCCAAGCGUUAAUCGGAAUUACUGGGCGUAAAGCGUGCGUAGGCGGUUGUGCAAGACCGAUGUGAAAUCCCCGAGCUUAACUUGGGAAUUGCAUUGGUGACUGCACGGCUAGAGUGUGUCAGAGGGGGGUAGAAUUCCACGUGUAGCAGUGAAAUGCGUAGAGAUGUGGAGGAAUACCGAUGGCGAAGGCAGCCCCCUGGGAUAACACUGACGCUCAUGCACGAAAGCGUGGGGAGCAAACAGGAUUAGAUACCCUGGUAGUCCACGCCCUAAACGAUGUCAACUAGUUGUUGGGGAUUCAUUUCCUUAGUAACGUAGCUAACGCGUGAAGUUGACCGCCUGGGGAGUACGGUCG